AGGAAAUACAAGUGGGGCAGUUAUGGAAAGGACGGCAGGUUCGGAGUGCCUACUCCCCACCACAACGAUGGACGCAGUGUCUCCAAAUCUCUCCACUGGUUGUGUGAUACUCAGAACCUUUUAUAGCAUAGCAGACACAUUGAAAGUGCCAGCAGGUCUUACAUAUGGAAUCUUGAUGCGGCCAGAGGACUUUGGUGCGGGUGACCUUCUCCACUCCACCCCUCCAGCAGAGUACCAGAAAGGCACAGACAGACAGCGCAC